GAUGAAGAACGCAGCGAAAUGCGAUAAGUAAUGUGAAUUGCAGAAUUCAGUGAAUCAUCGAAUCUUUGAACGCAUCUUGCGCUCCUUGGUAUUCCUUGGAGCAUGCCUGUUUGAGUAUCAUGAGCAAACCUCAAAGUCAAUUCCUUUUGUUAAUUCAAUUGGUUUUGCUUUGGACUCGGAGGUCUUGCAGAUUUCACAGUCUGCUCCUCUUAAAUGCAUUAGCUGGAUCUCAGUAAUUAUGCUUGGUUCCACUCGGCGUGAUAAGUAUCACUCGCUGAGGACACUGUUAAAAAGGUGGCCAGGAAAAUACUGAUUGAACCGCUUCUAACGGUCUAUUAAGUUAGACAAUUACCCUUAAGUUUGAUCUCAAAUCAGGUAGGACUACCCGCUGAACUUAAGCAUAUCAAUAAGCGGAGGA
rnacentral:misc_RNA from 1 species